rnacentral:misc_RNA from 1 species
GUGAAUCAUCGAAUUUUUGAACGCAAAUUGCACUCUCUUCUGAGAGUAUGCCUGUUUGAGGGUCAGCCUAUAAAAAAUCGACAUCGUUGCUGUUUCGCGGCGGCGUUCGUCGGCAAUUGGGUCAUCUUAUAUUUUUUUGUUUUAAGCGACUUAAAAUUUUCUUUUUGUUUCCAUGGUAGUUUCUUUGAUUUCUUUCUUUUCACGUUU